UUGGUCAACCUAGGCAAAGUCUAGCCAACAGCCUAGAAUAGACCAUUAUGGUGCGUAAGGUAACGAGCGUAGUAAAGCUAAUGGAAUGGACAACACAGGGUACAACGCAAGUGAAGGUAUUGAGUCCCGAAAUUUCUGGCAUCAUAGAGGUCGACAUUUUUCAUAGGAUGGAAGACAGCAUGGAGGAUAACGAUAAGGCAAGUUAUCAUUCACUUUAUCGGGAUGGCUUUGUU
rnacentral:ncRNA from 1 species